CCUACGGGUGGCAGCAGUAGGGAAUCUUUCACAAUGGGCGAAAGCCUGAUGGAGCAACGCCGCGUGCAGGAUGAAGGCCUUCGGGUUGUAAACUGCUUUUAUAAGCGAGAAAUAUGAUGGUAACUUAUGAAUAAGGAUCGGCUAACUACGUGCCAGCAGCCGCGGUCAUACGUAGGAUCCGAGCAUUAUCCGGAGUGACUGGGUGUAAAGAGUUGCGUAGGUGGCAUAAUAAGUAGCUAGUGAAAUCCCGAGGCUCAACUUCGGAAUUGCCUCUGAUACUGUUCGGCUAGAGAGUAGUUGCGGUAGGCGGAAUGUAUGGUGUAGCGGUGAAAUGCUUAGAGAUCAUACAGAACACCGAUUGCGAAGGCAGCUUACCAAGCUACUUCUGACGUUGAGGCACGAAAGCGUGGGGAGCAAACAGGAUUAGAUACCCGGGUAGUC
rnacentral:rRNA from 1 species